rnacentral:ncRNA from 1 species
UGGGCCUACUCCAUUUUCAUAGGCCCAUGGACCCGAUCAAAGGAGGAAAACAAACACCGCUUGGCUUGCGGUGCGGCAGUGUGGAGACCUGCCGUAAGGUCCCGGAGGUUCUGCUCUUCCGGGGCGAGGCGUUCGGGCGGAGGCCCGGCCGUCAAAGCUGAGAAUUAUGGC